rnacentral:tRNA from 1 species
GAGGGUGUAGCUUAGUGGUAGAGUGCCUGCUUAGCAUGCAUGAGGUCCUGGGUUCAAUAGCCAAUACCUCCA